rnacentral:rRNA from 2 species
ACUUCUUUAUCACCGAGUGCUUGCACUCACCGAUAAAGAGUUGAGUGGCGAACGGGUGAGUAACACGUGGGCAACCUGCCCAAAAGAGGGGGAUAACACUUGGAAACAGGUGCUAAUACCGCAUAACCAUAGUUACCGCAUGGUAACUAUGUAAAAGGUGGCUAUGCUACCGCUUUUGGAUGGGCCCGCGGCGCAUUAGCUAGUUGGUGAGGUAAAGGCUUACCAAGGCAAUGAUGCGUAGCCGAACUGAGAGGUUGAUCGGCCACAUUGGGACUGAGACACGGCCCAAACUCCUACGGGAGGCAGCAGUAGGGAAUCUUCCACAAUGGGCGAAAGCCUGAUGGAGCAACGCCGCGUGGGUGAAGAAGGUCUUCGGAUCGUAAAACCCUGUUGUUAGAGAAGAAAGUGCGUGAGAGUAACUGUUCACGUUUCGACGGUAUCUAACCAGAAAGCCACGGCUAACUACGUGCCAGCAGCCGCGGUAAUACGUAGGUGGCAAGCGUUAUCCGGAUUUAUUGGGCGUAAAGGGAACGCAGGCGGUCUUUUAAGUCUGAUGUGAAAGCCUUCGGCUUAACCGGAGUAGUGCAUUGGAAACUGGGAGACUUGAGUGCAGAAGAGGAGAGUGGAACUCCAUGUGUAGCGGUGAAAUGCGUAGAUAUAUGGAAGAACACCAGUGGCGAAAGCGGCUCUCUGGUCUGUAACUGACGCUGAGGUUCGAAAGCGUGGGUAGCAAACAGGAUUAGAUACCCUGGUAGUCCACGCCGUAAACGAUGAAUGCUAAGUGUUGGAGGGUUUCCGCCCUUCAGUGCUGCAGCUAACGCAAUAAGCAUUCCGCCUGGGGAGUACGACCGCAAGGUUGAAACUCAAAGGAAUUGACGGGGGCCCGCACAAGCGGUGGAGCAUGUGGUUUAAUUCGAAGCAACGCGAA